GACGAACGCUGGCGGCGUGCUUAACACAUGCAAGUCGAACGGAAAGGCCCUGCUUUUGUUGGGUGCUCGAGUUGCGAACGGGUGAGUAACACGUGAGUAACCUGCGCUUUACGUUGGGAUAACUUCAGGAAACUGGGGCUAAUGCCGGAUAGGAGCUCCUGCUGCGUGGGGGGGGUUGGAAAGUUGCGGCGGUUGGGGAUGGACUCGGGGCUUAUCAGCUUGUUGGUGGGGUAGUGGCUUACCAAGGCUUUGACGGGUAGCCGGCCUGAGAGGGUGACCGGCCACAUUGGGACUGAGAUACGGCCCAGACUCCUACGGGAGGAAGCAGUGGGGAAUAUUGCCCAAUGGGAGGAAGCCUGAUGCAGCAACGCCGCGUGCGGGAUGACGGCCUUCGGGUUGUAAACCGCUUUCGCCUGUGACGAAGCGUGAGUGACGGUAAUGGGUAAAGAAGUACCGGCUAACUACGUG
rnacentral:rRNA from 1 species